GGUCAAGUGAAUAAGCGCAUAUGGUGGAUGCCUUGGCAGUAAGAGGCGAUGAAGGACGUAGUAGCCUGCGAUAAGCUUCGGGGAGCUGGCAAACAAGCGAUGAUCCGGAGAUUUCCGAAUGGGGAAACCCAACCUUUCGAGGUUAUCGUAUACUGAAUUCAUAGGUAUACGAGGCGAACCUGGGGAACUGAAACAUCUAAGUACCCAGAGGAAAAGAAAUCAACCGAGAUUCCGUCAGUAGCGGCGAGCGAAAGCGGAACAGCCCAGUUACUAAAUCAUUAUUUGUUCUAGCAGAAUGUUCUGGAAAGUUCAGCCAUAGCGGGUGAUAGCCCCGUACGCGAAAGAGUAAAUAAUGUGGGUAACGAUGAGUAGGUCGGGACACGUGGUAUCUUGACUGAACAUGGGGGGACCAUCCUCCAAGGCUAAAUACUCCUUACUGACCGAUAGCGAACCAGUACCGUGAGGGAAAGGUGAAAAGAACCCCGGCGAGGGGAGUGAAAUAGAACCUGAAACCGUAUGCGUACAAGCAGUAGGAGCAUUUCUUCGGAAAUGUGACUGCGUACCUUUUGUAUAAUGGGUCAGCGACUUACUUGUUGUAGCGAGCUUAACCGUCUAGGGGAGGCGUAGGGAAACCGAGUCCGAAAUGGGCGUUUAGUUGCAACGAGUAGACCCGAAACCGAGCGAUCUAUCUAUGGCCAGGGUGAAGGUCAGGUAACACUGACUGGAGGCCCGAACCCACUAAUGUUGAAAAAUUAGGGGAUGAGCUGUGGAUAGGAGUGAAAGGCUAAUCAAGCUCGGAGAUAGCUGGUUCUCCUCGAAAGCUAUUUAGGUAGCGCCUCGUGUAUGACUCUUGGGGGUAGAGCACUGUUUCGGCUAGGGGGCCAUCCCGGCCUACCAAACCGAGGCAAACUCCGAAUACCAAGAAGUUUUAGCACGGGAGACACACUGCGGGUGAUAAGGUCCGUGGUGGAAAGGGAAACAGCCCAGAUCGCCAGCUAAGGUCCCAAAAUCACAGUUAAGUGGAAAACGAUGUGGGAAGGCUCAGACAGCCAGGAGGUUGGCUUAGAAGCAGCCAUCCUUUAAAGAAAGCGUAAUAGCUCACUGGUCGAGUCGUCCUGCGCGGAAGAUUUAACGGGGCUCAAACUGUGUACCGAAGCUGCGGCA
rnacentral:rRNA from 1 species